rnacentral:lncRNA from 1 species
AAACAAGAGUGAAGCUUUCUUUACUCUUAUCAAUUCCUUUCUUGCUUCUAGUCUAGUUUCAAGAGUCUCAAGUUUCCUUGUCUUUUGGCAAUAAGCAAUUCCAUUUUUUUUUUAAUAUAUGUACUUCCUUAUUUCUAUUUUGUCACUCUUUCUUUGACAUGGAUUUCAUUGAUUUAUGCAUCAUCUUUUAGUUCAUGUCCUUAACACUAAAACUUCUUAUAACUCUAAUGACCUAAGUAAAUAUCUCAAAUCUGAUUUGCCACUCAAAUAUCACUCUUAUGCUCACA